rnacentral:rRNA from 1 species
CCCUUAGAUGUCCUGGGCUGCACGCGCGCUACACUGAUGUGUCCUGUAAGCACCUAACCUCUUCCGAAAGGAACGGGUAACCUUUGCAAAGCACAUCGUGAUGGGGAUAGAUUAUUGCAAUUAUUAGUCUUGAACGAGGAAUUCCUAGUAAGCACAAGUCAUCAGCUUGUGUUGAUUACGUCCCUGCCCUUUGUACACACCGCCCGUCGCUCCUACCGAUUGAAUGUUCCGGUGAGCUCUUCGGACUGCGCGGUCUGCAGUUUCUGCGUUCCGUGCGGAAAGUUGCGCAAACCUUAACAUUUAGAGGAAGGAGAAGUCGUAACA